AAUAAUACCGUUCACAUAAACAGUGCACCCAUAAAUUUGUUUUUGAAUUAAAUGUGUCAUGUUAAUAAUAAAUCCAUGGCUGCCAGCCACCCAUACAAUAUUCAGCAUUAUGUGAUAGUAACCAUUUUUAAUUUCUCACCGGUCACCACCUAACUAUCACUAUAAACAGUACAAAUUGAAGGGACAUUUCAGCUCUUACAAAUCUGUCUCCUUCUUAUAUUUCGUUUUCACCGCCUCCCGCUGCCACGUACAGUUGAUGGCAACAGCGGCGGCGAUCUCAAAUGAUUUCAGUGGCACCUAGAAUAUGUAAAUCAUUCACCAAAUGUAAGAACCCCUCUAACUUUUUGCCUAUCUCAUCUUUUGUUUUUAUUUUUUCCAUUUUAGGUGUCAUGAUAGAGAAUUUCUGGAUCUGGAUUGUGGCUUCGUGAUUAAUUGUAUGCUUUUUUUUAUUUUAAUCGAGACUAUACUCCCUUCGAAUAAUUGUUAUCAAAUAAUUGCUUCUACCUGUUGUUUGUAGAUUUUUAAAAAUAAAAUAAAAUUAAUGACUUAGCUUUUAUAUUAUCUCUAUUCAUUAAAUAUUAAUUUGUUUAUCUUUUAUUUUUCAGAUAAAUUUUAACUGGAAAUAUUGAAAGUUAUUUCAAACUAUAUUUUUUUUAUGUUAGUCCACAGAAUAUAGUUCUUUUUACGUUUAUCUCUGAAACAUAAUUGUUUUUUAUAUUUAGUCAUCAAAAUAUUGCUAUUUUGUAAGUUUAAUCCACUUCAAUUGAUAUGUUUUGUGAGUUUGGACGGGCAGAAAUUAUAAAUUUUGAGAAUGAAACCCGCCAAAAAAUGUUAGGAGACCAAACUUAAAAAACAACCAUAACACUAACUAAAACAUUAUCCCUACAAAUUAUAGCUUGGUACAUUAUUAUUAAAUUUUAAAGGCUUUUUUGUACCAUUUAACAUAAUAUUUUUCUUGAGGGAAUAGAUUUGAUAUGUUUACCUUACACAGGUAUAUAAUUAUUGCUAUUGCUAUAUAUAUAAUUAUAAAGGUAUAAAGUUAUUAAUACAUAUAUGCAUUAUACAUUUGAAACUAGCACUCUAUUUGAGUUUGGGAUGGAAAAGAAAAGAAUGGAAAGCUUAAUUUAUAAUAGAAAAGAAUAGAAUAGAAAACUAAUAAGUUUUUUUAUGUUGUUGCUGAGUUUAAAAAGAAAAAUAAAAGAAAAUUUAAUUAAGUUUCUCAUUCAAGUUAUUAAGUUACCCUUAAAUUAGUUUUAAUAUGUUUAUAAACUAGAGGGUAUAAUAAGGAUUAUAAAAGAUGAACUUGUGUUAUUUAGUUUUUGUCCAUUUUUGGAUGAAAAAGUGGUCAAGUUUUCUGUCCAGAAUAAUGUUGUUGAAGGGCAGGGUUUGAAAAAGAUCAACUCAUUCGGAUUGAUGCGAGAGUCCAAUUACAUUACAUUAUAUUGACGAAUUAUGUUUUAUCCCCCUCUCUUUUAACAUUGUUAAAAGAGUCUCAUUUACACUUUUUAGAGUUUUUAUAAACAGGUGACAAUAAUGGAAGGAAGCAAAGAAGCCAUGAAAGUGGAAAAUUUUUUACAUAUGAAUGCAGGGGAUGGAGAAUCUAGUUAUGCCGAUAACUCAGCCAUUCAGGUUGCUCUCUCUCUCUCUCUCAUAUUGUUUGUUGGCCCCAUCAAUCAAAUAACAAAUAAAAAGGAUCAUUUCUCUGGGAAGAACCAAUCAAAAAAAUUCAUUAUAUCCCUUCAAAAGAUAUAAGGAAGAAUAUAUAAGGAGAUGGCAUGUUAAUGUGUUUAGAUUUUAUGAAAACUAAGCUUUUGAAACUGUGCAUGCUAUGUGUUUGCUAAAAUACCUCAAUGAGGUUAUUUUGCUAAAAUAUGAGAAAUUACUUGGUUUCUCUGCAAAUUGUUGAGGAUAUAUGAGUUAUAUAUUAACUCAAGUAGCAUGGAUAAUUAAAAUUUAGUUCAAAAUGGUUUUGAAGAAUUUCUUAGAAACUAGUGAAAACUAAAAAUUUUUGUUAAACGUAGAUUUUCGAGCUCUUCAUUUUAUACCAUAAAAAUAUUUAUAAAGACCCAACCUUGGUGUAAAAGUAAAUAUUUAUGUAGUGUGGCCUAGAAGUGAACAAGUUUUAAGUUCUUUGAACUUGCGAUGUGGAAGAUAUGAUUGAGAAGGUAGCGUGAGAAGCAAAAGAAAUUUGCAAGAACAGAACCCUUGCCUAUCUUAUGCCCAAUUUGGACUGGUUCAGCCUUGCCCUUCUCUAUUCUCUAAGUUCACCAUUUAGGUAACCUUUGAUAUUUAAAGGAUAGCUUACAUGUUCUACACACGGAGGGAGGGAGGGGAAAGUAUGAACCACAUGACACUUCAAUAUGAUUUUGGUCGGUGAUUGUGGAGAUUACCUUGGUUUAUUUUUAUAAAUUCAAUUUUGUUAGAGUUGUACUUCUUGGGAAAUGGUUAUAGGGUAAGGGAAGUAGGAAACUCUGGGAGGCAGUAAUGGUGGGUUGUGCUCCUACGAGUUCUGGAAAUAAUCCAAUUGGAAUGAAUCAAAAAGGAGCUAAAACGAAUUUAUAGUGAAGGCUUUAGUAAACAUGUUAGAAACCGAAAAAUUGUGAACUGCUGACCCUAAGAACAAAUUUGGGGCUAGCUAGAGUUUCCAGAAAAUUUUGGGCUUUAGGGAUAUUAUAGUAAAUUGAAUAAGCUUUCCAUAGACUCCGAAACGGACUAAUUCCGACUUCGGAGCAAAGAGUUAUGACCAUUCAAAGUAGUCGCGUCAUAACUGUCCAACCAAUUCUGACCAGUCCCCUUUGCACGAAAUUCUGGAAUUUUGUGUUAAGAAUUUGAAAAUGGUCAAAGAAUAAAAGUUGUUGCCACGGAAGUUAGCUUCGUGUGGGCUCAAGAAUCGCUCAAAAAUGUUUUGAAACGGAAAAAGUUAUGACUGUUUUAGCGAGAGAGAGUAAAGCAGAGAAAGAAUGAAAAACAGUUUCGAACGCCCCUUUUUGAACGCCCUUGUUGAAUAUUGUUUUGGACUGUCUAUCUAAUCCGAAAUGGGUGUCCAAUAAUUUUUAAAAAUAGUUUAAUAUGAUGUUUACAGCAUAUCCAAAGUUGGAUGUCAUCGGAUUUAUGAGAAAAAAACUAAAAAUCUGCAAAGUUGCUACGCCGCAACAGGGGCUGCUGCCCAGCAGCAGUAGCAACUGCAGAUGGCCACUUUGGCACACAGUUUUGAGUGGUUUAACAUGUCCGGAAUACAUGGCUAAUAUUUUUUAAAAAUAGUCUUACAUACCAUGUAUAACAUAUUCGAAAAUGGGCAUGAUGCGGCAUGCGAGCUAAAAAUAGAAAAAUUGCAAAGUAGCCGUCUCGCGAAGGGAGCUUCUGCCCACAGCAGCAGCGCACAGUAGUAAUUGGCAGCAAGCAGCUCCAAUAGCAGCGUUAGCGGCCUAUUUUUGGCUUUGUGGUGUAAAUUGAUAAUUUACCCAUAAAACUUAGUUUUUAAUUUCCUAAAUAAACAAGUACAAGAGUUAUAAAAAAAUAUCUAAUAUUCUAUAUGAAUACAGUUCAUGGUUUCUUAGAACCUUCAUUUGUCUUUGAACAAACUUCUUGAAUUUGGGGGUAUGCUCACAGAUUAGUUAAUAACAUUGUUUUAGUAGAUAAUAUUACAGUACAAUUACGAGUAAGCUUAGAUAAUAUUAUUAUGAGAAAACUGCAAUGAGCUAGUAACUGAAAAUGGCUUAAAUAAAGGACUGAAGUGCGAAGGAGAACGUCUAAUGUGCAGAAGUUGUUGAAUUUUGUACAGAGCUUUAUACAAAGAAAAUUAAGAGUAGAUCUUAAUAAUAUUACUAUUAUUACUCUGUAAAUUGUCAAACCCAAUAGUCAAAAGUCAAUCCAAAGCUUCAAAGGUAAGAGCUUUCCUGGAUGUUUCUACAAAUUUAUCUUCUGGGUAUUGCUAAAUUAUUGUCUGUAACCACUUUACAGAGUAUAUAUAUGAUGAGCUAAGAUUUGGGUUCUUUCAAAAUUUUAAGUUUUUGAAAAACAAAUUUUAUUAGGCUUCUAGAAAUAGAUUCAGAGAUAUUACAAAGUUUUGUGAUAGCAGGUUAUAAAUUUUACGAACAUCAAUGAUUUUUGCUUUUAAAAAGAGGUUCUUUGUGCUAAUGAUUUGUAUUGGAGCUGGGUUUGCUGUAGUAUGGUGUGGAGUUUGUGGAAUGAAAAGUAUUUUUGGGUUCUAAAUUUUAUCUAUGUAUUGAAGUUUGUUAAUAGAUUUUAGGAAUCUUUUUCAUAUAGUGAUUGUGAUGGUGAUUGCUACGUACGUGGCUUAUAACAAUGAGCAGGAAGAGGUUAUUGAGACUUUGAAAGAAGAUGGUAUUGUUGAUUUGGACUUAGAAGUCCAUGCAGACCCUGAAUGAAUAUCCAUGAAGGAAAUGAUUACUUCAUGGCUCGUAGAUAUAGUCAGUUAUGAACUUUGGGUAAGUUUUGACACAGGAUAUAUUAUUAUGAUCUCCCACGACUAAUAGGGAAGUUUUUCUACUAUAAGGAAAUAAAUGUUGCAAAACAACUACUUGGAAUUACAAAAGAAAAUAAUAAAGUGUUUUGACUAUUUUUUUUAAAUAAGUCAAGUUAACGAAAUUAAUGUGAUUAAAUAUAUUCCUACAAAUAUUAUAGGAAACCUUGUGAACGAAGGAAAUAUCAUGUUCAGGGACGUCAGAACUAAUUGAGGUUAUGCGACGUAAAGUAAGGAUAUGCUAAAGCCAUGUCGAAGCCUUGUAAAUUUAUUUAAUACCCAAAAAAGACUAUAAAUACAAUGUGAAACCUUAAACUUGAGUAUAGAAUACAAGGUGUAAAUUUGUUCUAAUACGAAAAAGAAAUUAAGAAUGCGAUAUGAGACCUUAAGUUGAAUAAUCAGACUAUAUCUCGGAACCAAAUGGUUUUUGAUAUGCAAAGCAAGGAUUAUGCAAACAGAGAUAAAAACUCAUUGGUUGGCAUAAAUAAGUUAUACAUGAAUAUAAGAUAUACAAAUAGCAUAUGUUUAUCUACAAGCUAAGAUAACAAGACAUGAUUUUGCAUUACAGGCGAGGCGUAUAUACAAAAGCAUAUAUACACCUCAUGCAUACCUGAAAUGGGGAAAAGUAAUGUUAUGUGAUAGUAUUAUUUGUGCAAAACGAAGUCCAAGUUACUCGCGAAAAUGAAAUUAAGCUAUGAAUGCAUGCAUAAAGAAAAACACAAGUGCACUAUAUAACUAUAAAUUUACAUAUAGAUGAAUAUUAAGCCUGUAAAUGGAAGGUAAUGGAAUUCUAAAAACUAUAUUGGAACCUGUUGAGAUAAAUAUGAUUAUAUUAAGCUGAAACUUAAAAUAUUUGAAAAAGAAUAUGGAAGUUUCUUGGAAAUGAGAAUAUUAAUUAUUGAUAUAACGUAUAUGAAUGUUUAAUAUCUAUACAUGAGUAUGUGGCUAAUGUAUGCAUACAUGUGAACAUAACUGUGUAUGAUUCAUAAAGCGAAGUUAAACUAAAGUUCGUAUCAAUGGUCAUUGAACGAGGCAAGUUUUUCAGUUCUAUUAUGUUUGUGGAUUAAAUGUGAUUAUGUUGUGAGUUACAUACCAUGCUUUAUGAAUUGUUAAAGUCUUAAUAUAACUAAGUUAAUUGGGUUAUGAAACUCAAUUUAUAUGUGAUAUGAUAUAGCACAUGUUGUAUGAUGUAACUCGAUAAAUUAGAAAUGUAUAAUGCAUGAAUGUAUGCUUUGUAAGAAAUUAUUGAUGUAUGUAGGAUAUGCAUAGUAAAGAAUAUAUGUUGCAUGCGGAUAUGCAUAUUAAAGGAAAUGUAGUGCAUAUGGAAUUGUGUGCUAUGUGAAACAUGAUAGACUGUUAAAUUUGUUGGGCUGUCGAGCUCAAUCUUGCAAACACAAACUUUUUGCAGGUUAAUGAUGUUAAGCGAUAUUACUUGUUAUAUGGAUGAUGAAGAUUGAACGAUGUGCAAAAUGAAUACAUUUCCUUAAAUUAGAAAUGGUAUAUCUAUGAUUGAUAGUUUUGUUAAAUGUAAUUGGCAAUUAUGUAUAGUUUGGAAUGUUGAAUGGAUAAAGAAUGUUUAUUCUGAAAUGAGAAUAAAUAUGAUUCUGAAAUAAGUGAAUCAUCGAUAGAAAAGAUAUUAAGUAUUGAGACUUAAGUUUUUAAUAUGUUUAUUCAGAUUAUACAAAUCAUAUAAUAAAUAUGAUUUUAGUAUAAAGAAGAAUUGUAAAGGUUGCGAUUCCGGGAAUGAAUGAAUGGAAAGAAAGAAAAAAAAAUUCUGUAUUUUUAGCUAUUUUAACAUUAAAUAAUGUUUUAAAGUUGAAACAGGAUAAUAUUAACGCACAAGAUUGGGGAGAGAAAUUGUCUCAAUUUUGGGGGCGUUACAGUAUACCAAGUCUUGAGUCACCCAAAAAAGUCCCUCCUUCCUAGAAUAGAAUGGGUAUUUAUAGAGUUUCCUGGAAUUUAAGUAGUCACAUGUUAGGCACAUGUCUUCAGGAAAAAUUCCAAAAAUAACUUUUAGUCAUUAGAAUAAUGUCCAUAUCGUCAUGUCUUUCUAGUCACCAAUCCAAUCCCUCAAUCAAUUCUCAAAACGAGUCGCCUCCA
rnacentral:lncRNA from 1 species